rnacentral:telomerase_RNA from 1 species
CAAGGACCGUACAUUCACAGAUAGCUAGCUUAUUUAUGUACACACACACACGUGACUUCGACCCGAUCGAUCAGUUGGUCUCGGUGCGUCGUUCAACAUGGACCGACCUCGCAUGAUCUAACCCUAACGAGCUGAAUAUUUCACCGACUUUUGGGUUACCCUCCAACAGUUUUGAAGCUUGUUUCUGUUGUAUGUUCCGAGUAACAAAAAACUUGCUGGUUGGUGUCAUGGACACACGACGAAAAGCAUCAAAAUGCCAAGUUUGUUUCUGCUCUCAGUCCAGAAAGUAUUACUGAACCUCGCCGUACUUAUGUGCAUGCCGGUGCUCAGUUUUACAACAGCCAUUUUGACGUAGAGUAAAUUGACAAAGUUUUUCUACUCCCCUGCACUUUGAUCACGAGUCAUGUAAGUGUGGAGGGGAUAAACGA